rnacentral:rRNA from 1 species
AGUUUGAUCCUGGCUCAGGAUGAACUCUUGCGGCAGGCUUAACACAUGCAAGUCGAGGGGCAUCGCGGGUGGCAACACCUGGCGGCGACCGGCGAACGGGUGAGUAACGCGUGAGCAACAUGUCCUCAGUCGGGGGAUAAGCGAGGGAAACUUCGUCUAAUACCCCAUAACACUUUCAGGCGCAUGCCUUUAAGUUGAAAGCUUUUUUUGCGACUUUGGUUUGGCUCGCGUGACAUUAGCUAGUCGGUGGGGUAACGGCUCACCGAGGCUACGAUGUCUAGGGGUUCUGAGAGGAAGGCCCCCCACAUUGGGACUGGGACACGGCCCAAACUCCUACGGGAGGCAGCAGUGAGGAAUAUUGGUCAAUGGACGCAAGUCUGAACCAGCCACGUCGCGUGAAGGAAGACGGCCCUACGGGUUGUAAACUUCUUUUGUAAGGGAAUAAAGUGAGUCACGUGUGGCUUUUUGCAUGUACCUUACGAAUAAGGAUCGGCUAACUCCGUGCCAGCAGCCGCGGUAAUACGGAGGAUCCGAGCGUUAUCCGGAUUUAUUGGGUUUAAAGGGUGCUCAGGCGGGCCAUUAAGUCGGCGGUGAAAUUUUGCGGCUCAACCGUAAAAGUGCCUUCGAUACUGGUGGUCUUGAGUGUGGAUGAGGUAGGCGGAAUUUGUGGUGUAGCGGUGAAAUGCAUAGAUAUCACGAGGAACUCCGAUUGCUAAGGCAGCUUACUAAGCCAUAACUGACGCUCAAGCACGAAGGCGUGGGGAUCAAACAGGAUUAGAUACCCUGGUAGUCCACGCAGUAAACGAUGAUUACUGGCUGUUUGCGAUAUAUUGUAAGCGGCUGAGCGAAAGCGUUAAGUAAUCCACCUGGGGAGUACGUUCGCAAGAAUGAAACUCAAAGGAAUUGACGGGGGCCCGCACAAGCGGAGGAACAUGUGGUUUAAUUCGAUGAUACGCGAGGAACCUUACCCGGGCUUGAAAUGCAGAUGACAGGCGGCGAGAACCGUUUUUCCUUCGGGACAUCUGUGUAGGUGCUGCAUGGUUGUCGUCAGCUCGUGCCGUGAGGUGUCGGCUUAAGUGCCAUAACGAGCGCAACCCUCAUCGUUAGUUGCCAUCAGGUCAAGCUGGGGACUCUAACGGGACUGCCAUCGUAAGAUGUGAGGAAGGUGGGGAUGACGUCAAAUCAGCACGGCCCUUAUGUCCGGGGCGACACACGUGUUACAAUGGGGGGUACAGCGGGUUGCUACCUGGCGACAGGAUGCCAAUCUCACAAAACCCUUCUCAGUUCGGAUCGGAGUCUGCAACUCGACUUCGUGAAGCUGGAUUCGCUAGUAAUCGCGCAUCAGCCACGGCGCGGUGAAUACGUUCCCGGGCCU